rnacentral:rRNA from 2 species
UAGGGAUACCCGCUGAACUUAAGCAUAUCA